rnacentral:rRNA from 1 species
UACGAAGGGGGCUAGCGUUGUUCGGAAUUCAGUACGUGGGCGUAAAGCGGCACGUAGGCGGAUGAUGUCAGUCAGGGUGAAAUCCCGGGCUCAACCUCGGAACUGCCUCUGAUACAGCACGAAUCUUGAGUCCGGGAAGAGGUGGGUGGAAUUCCUAGUGUAAGAGGUGAAAUUCGUAGAUAUUACGGAAGUAACACCGGUGGCGAAGGCGGCCCCACUGUCGGUACUGACGCUGAGUGCGAAGCGUGGGGAGCAAACAGG